rnacentral:rRNA from 1 species
ACAUCUGUAGCUUGUUUUGCAAGUCUCCUGUGAAAUUCAAUAUCUUAAAUAUUGAGCGUGCAGGAGAUACUGCAUUACUAGAGGCUGGAAGACGUAAGAAGUACAAUUAAGGUAGUAGUAAAAUAUGUUGAUCUUAAUUGGACUAACAACAGCGAAGGCAUCUUACGAGUACAGAUCUGACAGUGAGAGAUGAAGGCUAGGGUCGCGAAAAGGAUUAGAUACCCUUGUAGUCCUAGCAGUAAACACUGCACACUAAACAUCAGUAUCUCCUCGAGAGACAUUGGUGCUGUAGGGAAGCCGUAGAGUGUGCUACCUGGGAAGUAUAGUCGCAAGACCGAAACUUAAAGGAAUUGGCGGGGGAGCACAAGCCGA